GAUGAACGCUGGCGGCGUGCCUAAUACAUGCAAGUCGAGCGAACAGACGAGGAGCUUGCUCCUCUGACGUUAGCGGCGGACGGGUGAGUAACACGUGGAUAACCUACCUAUAAGACUGGGAUAACUUCGGGAAACCGGAGCUACUACCGGAUAAUAUAUUGAACCGCAUGGUUCAAUAGUGAAAGACGGUUUUGCUGUCACUUAUAGAUGGAUCCGCGCCGCAUUAGCUAGUUGGUAAGGUAACGGCUUACCAAGGCAACGAUGCGUAGCCGACCUGAGAGGGCGAUCGGCAGCACGGGAGCGGAGACGCGGACCAGACUCGGACGGGAGGCAGGAGCAGGGAAUCUACCGGAGGGGGCGAAGGCCUGACGGAGGAACGCGGCGAGAGUGAGGAAGGUCUUCGGAGCGUAAAAGUCUGUUAUUAGGGAAGAACAAAUGUGUAAGUAACGAUGCGCGUCUGGCCGGUACCUAAGCAGAAAGCCCCGGCUAACUACGU
rnacentral:rRNA from 1 species